AUGGAAGACAGGAACCAGAAUCACCAAAUUGCUGAAGAAACCCAGAUUAAAAAAGAGAAAACCUUGUUCGGGGUGAGGAACUGGAACUCGUGGGCAUGGUGGCAAGCAGGAAGAUGAGCAACAAAGGAAGCAAAAGAAGGGAAUUUGAAGGGCAGUGUGUUUCACAUCAAGACCAAAGGAUCAAGGACUGGAGAGAUCAGCUCUCAAGAGACAGACAUGACC